AUGUCACCUUCGACCGCCUCCAGGGCUUGCACGGCCUCCCCGUCGAGUUCGAGCUCUAGAUCCCCUGCCCAGCCCCCAGCGCCAGUGCCAGCGUGUCCGGGGUGUCGCCGGAGUCGAUGCAGUGCGGCUACAACGACAGGGGCAACUCGGUGCCCAAGAUCCUCCUGCUCAUGCAGGAGCGGCUCUACUCCCAGGAUGGCCUCAAGGUAG
rnacentral:rRNA from 1 species